UACGAAGGGGGCUAGCGUUGCUCGGAAUUACUGGGCGUAAAGCGCACGUAGGCGGUCUUUUAAGUCGGGGGUGAAAUCCUGGAGCUCAACUCCAGAACUGCCUUCGAUACUGGAAGACUCGAGUCCGGGAGAGGUGAGUGGAACUGCGAGUGUAGAGGUGAAAUUCGUAGAUAUUCGCAAGAACACCAGUGGCGAAGGCGGCUCACUGGCCCGGUACUGACGCUGAGGUG
rnacentral:rRNA from 1 species